UAACAAAAAGGCCUUAGUCUCGGAUUAGCCGCAUCCAAGCGAAAGGCCGUUUAUUUAAAUACGCAAUGUUAGGUUUUGCUUAACUGAAGCAGUGGAUUGCUUGCUUUAAUGAUGGCUUUCCUAAUUUUAUUUUCUUAAGGUUUUCGAAAAUAAAACCUAUCUUGUAUACUAAAUAAUGAUAUCGUGCUAAAGAAGUUACUGCUUGUAUUAAUUAUGUAUAACUUCGUGCCAGCAGCCGCGGUAAAACGGGGGGUUAACUGACAUUUCUGUGAAGUGAAGCUACAAAUUCUUAAUGGCUGACAACUUCGAAAAUAUUUCAACUCAGGAAAGUGCUGAGGAUCAAUUCCUACUCCAGGCACUUCACAUCCCUCUAAAG
rnacentral:rRNA from 1 species